UCCUGCAGCUGCACGUGGGCUGUCGCCCAGC
rnacentral:sRNA from 1 species